CCCAACAUAAAACUAAAGCCAUUACUGCCCCCAGGUGCCGGUGACAAUGGCGCCCACCCAAAUUCCCUGCAGGAAGCGCGGGGCGGGCGUGUUCGGGGACCCCCACACGAACCGCUCCGUCUCCUUUGCGAAGGCCGGGGUUGGGCGGAUGUUCCCAGAACGCCCCUCCAGAACGGCCCCGCCGCUGCCCCCCGCCCCGACGAGGGCGACCCGGGGCACCUUUCCGGGGGGGGGGGGGCAUCUUCCUGGGGGCUCCCAGAGCCAGGAGCGGGCAGCGCACGGCUGCUCCCUCCCGCCUCCGCCCUGGAACGCGGCCAAACCCUGGGUCAAAGCCACGGUGGCCAGGGGCUCGGAGGAUCCUUCAUAGGGCGCUGCCUCGCAGGAAGGCACCGCUUCGCCCCCAGCCGAGUGGUGGGGCGCGUUUCCCUCCCAUCUCAGUGUGUGGGGUGCGUGUGCGGAAGGGGGGGGGGGGUGCGCUUCGCUCACUGCGAUGAGGGAGCACUACAUCCUCAUCCAGCGAGAGGCGGAGAGCUGCACUCGCUCCUUUUUCGCACUAGCGCGGAGCACUGCUCCUUCCCUGACUCCCUCCUCCCGCCCCAUACAGCCCUCCCCUCCCCGGAGCCCGGCGCUCAGCGUGCGGGAGCGUCCCGGGCCGCGGGCAACUCCGCCCGCCGCGCCGGCUCCGAGCGCGCCCCGAGCGGCCCGCAGGGGGCGCCCCGCGCGCGGAGCGGGAGCGGGCCCCGCUGGGAGCCCCUUGGAGGGAGUGCAGGGAUGGAUGAGCCGCUGCUCUCCCGCUCUCCCCGGCUCCCUGCUUCGGAAAGCGCGCCCGAAGUCUCACAGAAGUGCGGCCUGGGUUCUUCCGCUCGCCGCAAGCACUCUCCUCCCAGCCCGCAUUUGUAUGUCCUCCCAGCAUCUGCGCUGGAGAUGAGGCUUUGCGUCCUCCUACGAGCCCGUCUGGGGCGGGGCGGGGGGGAGAUUGUCCCUUUUUUAAAAUGUUUCUUUUUUUUUUUUUCGUAG
rnacentral:lncRNA from 13 species